AUGACAAAAUGGUGGCAGCCAUUCUAGACUGACACGCCACAGCAGCUGGAAGAAAGACACGAUCUUUUCCUCUGAUGCCUCUCUCAGAAGCAAAACCAUACAAACAUUUUCUAAUAAAAUGAUAUGUUGCCUGAGAGUCUCUUAAGAAUACCGCAGGAGUGGAGGAAGCAGGUGUUGAAUUUGGAUAAUGGGUAUGUGAG
rnacentral:lncRNA from 1 species